rnacentral:rRNA from 1 species
AUGGACCGUGGCGAUGAGUUCACAUCGGCCACGUUCUACAAGCACUGUGACGAGAAAGGGGUACAAUGUCACCUCACAGCCCCUUACUCGCCACAGCAGAACAGCGUCGUCGAGCGGAGGAACCAGACGAUGCUCGGGAUGGCACGAUGCAUGCUCAAGUCAAAGCAGGUGCUGAUCAUGUAUUGGGGGGAGGCCGUGCUCACGGCCGUCUUCGUCCUCAACCGCUCCUUCACAAGGAGCGUCGACGGCAAGACACCAUACGAGGCGUGGUAUGGGAGGAAGCCCGAUGUACGCUUCCUUCGUACCUUUGGCUGCGUCGGGCACGUCAAGACGAUGCGCCCACAGCUGAAGAAGCUCGAUGACAGGAGCACCCCAAUGGUGUGCAUGGGCUACGAGACGGGCUCUAAGGCGUACAGGAUGUACGACCCCGUCUCAAAGCGCGUACACAUCUCUCGCGAUGUCAUCUUCGAUGAAGACGCGCGAUGGACUUGGGAGGCGUCAGGGGAGGCCCCGGAAAGCAGCUCCUUCACUGUGGAGUACCCGAUGUACUCUACAACCCCGGGAAGCAAGACCUCGGGAAGUGGCACCUCGGGAAGCUCGGGAGGUGUGGAUCCGGGAACAGCAACCCCGAGAACACCAUCCCCGAGUACGGUGUCGCCGGACACAAUGACGUCAAGCAAAGUGGGUCCCUGGAGGCAGUUCGCAACCCCGCCAACGGCGAGGUCGGAGCUGUUCGAUGCCGACGACAAUGUUGGUGCCCCCACAGGUUUCCGCGCAUGGGGGAUCUCCUCGGCGAGGCUGCGGCAACACCGCAAUAGCCCGAGGAUGGGGACGCUGAUGACGACGAGGUCCUGCAUCUGA